rnacentral:misc_RNA from 1 species
GAUGAAGAACGUAGCAAAAUGCGAUAAGUAAUGUGAAUUGCAGAAUUCAGUGAAUCAUCGAAUCUUUGAACGCACAUUGCGCCCCCUGGUAUUCCGGGGGGCAUGCCUGUCCGAGCGUCAUUACAACCCUCAAGCUCAGCUUGGUGUUGGGCCCCGCCGCCCGGCGGGCCCUAAAGUCAGUGGCGGUGCCGUCCGGCUCCGAGCGUAGUAAUUCUUCUCGCUCUGGAGGUCCGGUCGUGUGCUCGCCAGCAACCCCCAAUUUUUUUCAGGUUGACCUCGGAUCAGGUAGGGAUACCCGCUGAACUUAAGCAUAUCAAUAAGCGGAGGA